rnacentral:rRNA from 1 species
GAUGAACGCUGGCGGUGUGCCUAAUACAUGCAAGUCGAGCGAACAGACGAGGAUCUUGCUCCUCUUACGUUAGCGGCGGACGGGUGAGUAAUACGUGGAUAACCGACCUAUAAGACUGGGAUAACUUCGGGAAACCGGAUCUAAUACCGGAUAAUAUAUUGAACCGCAUGGUUCAAUAGUGAAAGCCGGUUUUGCUGUCACUUAUAGAUGUAUCCGCGCCGCAUUAGCUAGUUGGUAAGGUAACGGCUUACCAAGGCAACGAUGCGUAGCCGACCUGAGAGGGUGAUCGGCCACACUGGAACUGAGACACGGUCCAGACUCCUACGGGAGGCAGCAGUAGGGAAUCUUCCGCAAUGGGCGAAAGCUUGACGGAGCAACGCCGCGUGAGUGAUGAAGGUCUUCGGAUCGUAAAACUCUGUUAUUAGGGAAGAACAAAUGUGUAAGUAACUAUGCACGUCUUGGCGGUACCUAAUCAGAAAGCCACGGCUAACUACGUG